GGACACGUCGGCCGGGGCCGAGCAACAGGCUGCCAUGCCAGGUCGGAGAAGCAGGGCGCGGCUGCGUGCGUGGGAGGCGCAAGCUCGAUGGAGCGAGGAUAGCAGCGCGCGACAACUUAGCUAGACAACGCGCGCAGGACAAUUCGGUCACGAAACUGCAUGGCAAGUUUGCCGAGGACGAAAAAAGAACGCGCUACGAAGGUUCAAUCCAACACAAAGAAAAGGAGGAGAACUCACCUGGUCGAAGGACUCGUCGGAGAAGAAGAGGCCGCGCCGAGACAGCCAAGCUGGGCGUCUGGGCGCUCGCCGGGGUGCUUUGGAUUUGGGCGCUGGGAUCGGCAACCACCAGGUGAUAGGUGUAGUGGCAGUUGCGAGCAUCAGGGAGAGAAGAUGGGAAAGGGAGAGAGAACGAUGGUGGUUUCCAGGCGCAGCCACAAGGCACGACGUGCGGUUUGCCAUGCCCACGCGCGUUGGGCCGGCCACGCGGGCAGCCCAAGAAGAGGGGGCGGCUUUCUAUUUCUCCCUUUCCUUUAAUCUAUUCUAUUCGAAUUUAGAUAUAUCUUUUGAAUCCAAGAUCCAAAUAUACUUUAUGAGUUUGAAUGGGUACACGACCACAAAAAAAACAACAUACAAAACAAUGUCUCGGCAAGCCAUGCAACAAUCAAGGACCCUUUUUGGAUUUUAUUUUACUACGCAAAAAAAAAUUUAUAUAAAUGUAUAUAACAAAAUAAUUCUCCAUUUUUAGGAAAAAGAGAAGGAAAGCGAAGAACUUACAGAGUAACACCUGAAUUUGGUGGAUAUUAGAAAAGAAAUUUUAUACCCCUAAAUUUAGGGUGUUACAAAUCUAACCCCCUUAACAGGAAUCUCGCCCUCGAGAUUCAAGAAGAAGCUAGCAAGAAAAUGAGAUUGGUUCAUCGGUUUUUCAUAGCUUCUUCAAUUCGACAUUGGCUCUGCCAGCUUAACAUACGGACUGAUUGAUUUGAUCUUCAGGCGUUCACGACCACGUAAGACGAUACUUGAGGAUCCUAUGACCUAUGGGUUAGGACUCACACAUGCUUUCGCUGCACCACUCUGAUCUUGUUGGUUGAUGUUGAUCGUAUUGUCUUCAUUGGGGUUAGCGGUUAACCCCCUUAACAUGGGCGUUGAUAUGCACUUGGUGAAGAUGUUGCCGACUCUGAUCUUGACUAAUUUGGAGGAGUUGGAGGUUGCCAAAUGGACAGGUGCAAGAGAAAAGAAUAGCGAGAAAAGGUAAGUAUAGACGGAUUAGAGAGAGCAGGGGGAGAACCCAACUACUUAACUCUAUAACACUCACCUAGUAAACGGAUGUCAUUGCGGACCCAGGACCACAACACAUCAACACUCAUCACAAAGAAGCAAAUCAGUCACCACACAAAGACAAACAACACAAGCAUACAACAACAAACGCCUCGUUGCAAUACGUUCCUUCUAAUUAAAUGGUGGUCUUUCCUUGCUAAGGGGAAACUACUCUAAGGCCAUCGAAAGGCAAGGGGAAUAAUAAAACAUGCAGGAUAGGGGCAUGAGCAUAAUAAAGCAUGAAACUGAAGCAAGGAUUGGAACCGACAGGGAGAGAAUGAAAUCAAGGUCAGGAUAGGUAAAACACCAUUCUGAAAUCGAGAUGGGAAAGAUGAUAAGUCAAAAGGUAGGCAUAAGAUAAGCAUCAUGGAAAUCUCUAGAUAUUACAAAGGCAACGGAGGUAAAAAGGCAAAAGCACACCAAAAGAUAGAGUUAGGACAAGACUUGCAAUGUGAUAGAGGAAAAGGUAAUAGACAAGAGCGGGGUGGGUAAGACAUCGCUCUUGAAAUGAAAUGGGGGAGGCAGCUUUAAAAUGUAGGUACAGGCUAAGCAUCAUGGUAAAGAUCAAGGGAUGACAAGGGUUAAGGUGAUAACAGGCAAACACAACCAAGGAUGUAUUUUAGACAAAACUUGUGAGGCAUCAAAGAAGGGGAAGCAAUCAAUGGUGAAGUAGGUGAGACAUUAUCCCCAAACAGCGAUGAAAAGGAGGAGGCUUUAAAGGGUAGGUUGAAAGUAGGCAUGUGGCAAGGGCAUAGGUAUCGCGAGGGUUUAAAGGUAAUAAUGGACAAGGAUGUAGAAGAUGAGGUAAAUGGGUAUAAGAACCAAGGAUAUAAAUACCCCAAAGGGUGGAGUUAAGACAGGAUGUGCAAGUAAAAAAAAUGAGGGUACGUUCAAGGGCCAGAUAGGUAAACUGCCACUCUCAAAUUGAGGUAGAAGAGAGGGAAUUUUUUAAAGAGUGGGAAUAAAGAUGAGUGUCCAAGAAAGAUCGACGGAUGACAAGGUGAUGGUGAUAGUGAAUAAAAACACAACAAAGGGUGGGAUUAAGUCAAAACUUGUAAGAUGACAAGGAGAGAAAAGAAAUCAAGGGAGAGAUAGGUAACUCACAGCUCUCAAACUGGGUUGAAAGAAAGGGGAGGCUUUUAGAGGAUAAGUUCAAGGUAAGCAUUUAAGUAGAAUACCUCAAUAUCGCAAGGUCAAAGGCGAUAACAAACAAGGGUAUGAGAGAAAAAAAAUGAAGGCAUGGGAGAGCCAGUGGUAUGAGUACAACAAAGAAUGGAUUUGCGCUCAGGCUUACCCGCGGUAAAGAAGAGGAUAUUGCCAAGGGUGGGGUAAGUAAAACAAUGCUCCUAAACUAGGAUAGGAUAUUGGAGAUUUUAUAGAACAUACAUAGUGUAAUUACCAAGGUAAGAUCGAGAGAUGAGAAAGGUAAAGGUAGUACCCAACCGAAGCACAACAAAGGAUGGAGUUAAAAACUAGCAAGCGACAAGGAAGAGGAUACGACCAAGGGAAAAAAUAGGUAAAGUAUAAUGCUAGUAUUGAGAUGAAAAGAGGAGAUUUUAAAAGGUCGGUAUAAGAUAAACAUUAAGGUAAGAUAUAGAGGUGAUAAGGGUAAGGGUGAUAAUUAUGAAAAGCAUAACCCUGGACAGAGUUAAGGCAAGACUCGCAAAGUGGCGAAGUGGAGAAAACAAUCAAGGAUCAGAUAAGUGAGGUUCCGACAGAAGAGUUGAAGUAAAAAAAAUCAUUAUCGAAGGAAGUUACAAGGAAUUAACGAGAUCACCAAGGAUGUGCAAAAUAAAAUGGCAGUUCAUGGAUCAUUAAUAAACAAGGGUGGUCAAGGGCAGGUUAACUGAAAUGUCUUAAAUAGACAUUGGGGUAUGAAGAUAAUCAUCCAUAAAAAAUAUGAGAAUAUGCAAGACUCCAAGGACAUGAGUACAACAAGACCAAGGAAAUGAAAAUUGCCAAAAGAUAACGACCUAACAACAGAAGAGGAAAGGGUCUCAAAAGAUACGAAGAUCAUGGAUAUAUAAACUGAAAUGUUUAAGUAUGCAGUAGAAAUUCUGAUGUAAGCAUUUGAAACAAGAGUAUUGAAGAAUAUAGGGAUACAAGCAUGUCAAUACCAAGGGAAUAGAGAUGGUCAAAUGGUAGCAAUUUAAUGAUGGAAGAGAAAUGAAUCCCAAAAGACAAGAAGGUUAUGGUCAGGGGCAUUUACAAAGAUGUCGCAAGCACAAGGUGAGAUCAGAUCUAAUAGAUUGAGAGAAGUAUAGACCAUACUAGAAUAAAAUACUUUUGGCAAGGAGGCAUAUAGGAGCACAACAUAGAAUUAGUCGAGGUGACUAAUAUUUUGAAGCAGAAUCAAGGAUGAGGUGAAGUAAUAGUCAAUAAGUCCUUAACACGGCCAAUGCUACUCUAGGCCAGCGGUCCUACAGUCAGCCUGGCUUUGAUACCACUUAUGUCACACCCGGUUUUGGAAGGUAAACCGAAUGCGAACCAUGUACGUGCCAGGAUCAGAAAUUCACGUACACAGCGAUUACAUAAAUGACUCAUCAUAGCACAAUGCUUUGAAUAACAAUAAAGAAUAAAUAAUGAUAUUAAAGACUAGAGUCAUUUACAUAAUAUGAAUCAAAGUACACAGAAUCGAAACGUAGCCAAUGUAAACAACCCACCACAGGCAGCUGACUGGGGGAGGUCACUAGCCUAAUCCUCGAACUCAUCAACGUCCUGGAACUCCUGAAGGUCCACCUCGACACCUUCUUCUUUACCUGAGCAUAGAUUGCACCAAAGGCAACCUGGUGUUUUGUGAAAGCAAGGGUGAGUACACAUCAACGUACUCAACAAAUGUCCCGUUUGGCUGAGAUGGACUAGCUUUAUGUGGGGUUAGGCUCAAGCAGUUGCUUUUAGUUGGUCAGGUAUUUAUUAUUAGUGAAGCCAGGUUUUAGCAAUAACUAACCCGUGAAUCAUUUCCUCAUCGAGGAACAUCAUUAUCAUCAUCGAACCAAAAUCAUAAAUAGAACCAUUGUAUCUCGAACCAUUCGUAUCUCUAAUCAAAGAGGAUCCCAAGGCUGCUCUUAACCGUGAGCACGGCUGAUAUAUCAGUUUCACUACCCUCUGCAGAGGUUGCACACUUUACCCAUGAGCCGUGAUUCCCUUUCUGCCCGAGGAUCGCGACUCCCCAUUGAUCACUUCCAAGGUGAACUAGUAGGGUCUCACUACGUGGCUUUUCUCUAGGGUCCUCACUAUGAGAAUGUUGGAAAUGACCAUUGCAUAAAGUCCAUCUGACGUCCCAAAACCUAUACCUCUGCCCUCAAGAAAAAGCCAUGGGACGAUGCCCGUACCCAGAUCCCUGAGCGAGAAUAUAGGAGCCAUAACAGAUGCCUCCGUUUCCCAAUGACCAAAAACCAGCACCCAACAUAAGACUUCCCUAAAUACUUGGCCAAGGGCAUCCCAUACCACCCUCAUGGUUGCACUGUUUUCCCGGGGUGUCGCUCCUCGAACAGGUCCUUACGGAGAGGCACUCAGGAAACAGUCUGAGUCCCCUAAAGUGUCACAGGACCACCAUCAGGAUAACAUCAUCGUAUCAUAAGUAAUCACAUCAUGUUCAUUGAUUAAAGUAAAGCAAUAGCAUGAAGCUAACCAUAAUAACCCAACAGGUAAUCAAGGACAAGGUAAAUACAAAGCUAGUCAAUCCUUAGGUUUCAAUUGAGUAAUGCAGAAUAGUGAUUUAUAAAGUAAAUAGGACAUAAUGGGUCAGAGGACACUUGCCUUCACCAAACAGAUGCUCAGGAUCUUCAAUCUCGUAGAGCUUGAGGAGCUUGAUCACUUGGUCACCAAAGCUUGACCUUCGAUCUCUCGAAGCUCGGAAACGGAUCACAAACUAUUUGCGACGCACAACGAAUACCAACAGGCACAAACAAACAAACAUAUGUAUAUGCAUAAGAACAUUACACCAUACAUGAUAAAUUGUUAUAAAAACAUGCAGCAUAAAAUAGAGCUCGAUUCUAUAGUCACGCGAGGGAAAGAAACGUCGAACUUGAAGUUACGGUUGAGAAGUUAGCGCGUUAACAUUAAACAAGUAUUAACAACAACUUUUAGUUCAACAUGAUCAAACAUAAAUAUUAUACAUCAGUUAGUUUCGAUUAAUCUGAUACGCUAACAAAUGUCUGUUAAUUAAAUAAUUUAAUUAAAAGGAUAGAUUCUAAGCGAGAUGAAUUUAUGACGUGUGAAACAGCACGACAGCGUGCAAACGACGUGCGGACACGCGCGACAUAGCACGCUGACGACACACGAAACUAUGCUCGUGGCACGCGUGGACGACGAGCGACUCAGCACGCGACCAAGACGAGUAGAAAUGGGUUUACGACGCAUUAUAUAUCAAAUAACUGACCAUUUGCGGCUAACAAACGACGCUACCAACGAAUACUACUAAAUUGUGAUUAAACGCACAAAAUUAUUUGCGUAAGAUAUUUUAGAUAAAUAGAAUUAUCGAUUAGUCAACGAUUAAACAAGAAUUAAUUAAUAAGCAUGAACGACUAUAGUGAAACGAUUAACUAAUGUGUGUGGAUCGUGCGCGCGACACACGACAAUGCUUGAAAACAGCGCGUGGCCGACGUGCUAUGACGUGCGCGAAUAGCACGCGCGCCAUGCACGAAGAAACGCGAAAAUCACAAAUAGAUGUCGCUUUUACAUGAAACAAAUAUUAGUUGAAAACAUUAAAGUUGGCAUUAAUCACAUUAAUUUGUAUUUAUAAAAGCGCAAAUUAAAAUUAUAGAUUAGUUUAAUUAUAUUGAUAUUUUAAUAAAUAUCAGAUGAACAAAUAAUUAACUAAUUAAUUAAAACUUGUGUACGAACAGAAUAAUGUUAUUAACAUGUUGUCAACGUUAUUACGAAGCUAACAUGACUCGAAUGAAUUAAAACGAAUAUUUAACGCAAAUAAUGACGCAUAUCCAAUUAGCCGGGGACUGAAAAACAUGUGGCGUGAUAUAAUUGGCUAAAGACUUGCCACAUGCAGGGCCACACCUAGGGACAUAGGGAACAUAGCCACAAAGGAUCUGACGUAAGGCUGAAACGUGGGCAGUUUUCUUUUCUCUCUCUCAUGUGCACGGAACUUUUCUUCUCUCGUAUCCAAUCGCAUGAAGUUCUUCUUCCUUCAUCCAUCUUUCUCCAUGGAAUCAGCAGCAAGGGGAGGGAGAAGGAGGGGACGUGGGCAUGGGAGGGGGAGCCGGUGCUCUAGGCUGGGGGCUGGCCAUGGCCAUAGCCGAGGUGAGGGCGCUGGGCACCUAGGCACGCUGCGGCUGGAGCCUGGCCGAGUGGCCGACCAUGGCGCCAAGGCUAGGGAGCCAGGGCCGGAUGCCUGAGCACGCGGGUGGGCCGCCGCGCUGGCGUGUCUACCGCGCAGGCCGGCUGCCGCGCCACGCCCUACGCAGGGGAGCAUGUAUGCGGAGGCCAGAGGAGCAGGUCGAGCGGCCUGCGGCACGGGGGGACACGUCGGCCGGGGCCGAGCAACAGGCUGCCAUGCCAGGUCGGAGAAGCAGGGCGCAGCUGCGUGCGUGGGAGGUGCAAGCUCGAUGGAGCGAGGAUAGCAGCGCGCGACAACUUAGCUAGACAACGCGCGCAGGAUAAUUCGAUCACGAAACUGCAUGGCAAGUUUGCCGAGGACGAAAAAAGAACGCGCUACGAAGGUUCAAUCCAACACAAAGAAAAGGAGGAGAACUCACCUGGUCGAAGGACUCGUCGGAGAAGAAGAGGCCGCGCCGAGACAGCCAAGCUGGGCAUCUGGGCGCUCGCCGGGGUGCUUUGGAUUUGGGCGCUGGGAUCGGCAACCACCAGGUGAUAGGGGUAGUGGCAGUUGCGAGCAUCAGGGAGAGAAGAUGGGAAAGGGAGAGAGAAC
rnacentral:lncRNA from 1 species